rnacentral:rRNA from 1 species
UACGUAGGGGGCAAGCGUUGUCCGGAAUCAUUGGGCGUAAAGCGCGUGUAGGCGGCCAGGUAGGUCUGCUGUGAAAACUCGAGGCUUAACCUCGAGAUGUCGGCGGAAACCAUCUGGCUAGAGUCCGGAAGAGGCGAGUGGAAUUCCUGGUGUAGCGGUGAAAUGCGCAGAUAUCAGGAGGAACACCAAUGGCGAAGGCAGCUCGCUGGGACGUGACUGACGCUGAGACGCGAAAGCGUGGGGAGCAAACAGG